rnacentral:rRNA from 1 species
AGAGUGAACGCUGGCGGCGUGCUUAACACAUGCAAGUCGAACGCGAAAGGGUAGCAAUACCCGAUUAGAGUGGCGAACGGGUGAGUAAAGUGUGAGUAAUCUGCCUUUCAGAGUGGGAUAACCCGGCGAAAGCUGGGCUAAUACCGCAUGACAUCGCGUUGUUUUCGGAUAAUGCGAUCAAAAAGAUGGCCUCUAUUUAUAAGCUAUUGCUGGAAGAUGAGCUCACAUCCUAUCACGCUUGUUGGUGAGGUAACGGCUCACCAAGGCGACGACGGGUAGCCGGCCUGAGAGGGUGUCCGGCCAACGACUGGAACUGAGACACGGUCCAGACUCCUACGGGAGGCAGCAGUGGGGAAUAUUUCGCAAUGGGGCAACCCUGACGAAGCAAACGCCGCGUGGAGGAUGAAGGCCCUAGCGGUUGUAAACUCCUGUCUAGUGGACGAAAGGUUUCAGGCGGAAAUACUGCUUGGAAUUGACGGUACUACUGGAGGAGGCUCCGGCUAACCG